UACCAAGCAAUUUUUGAUUCGAUGAAGACAAGUUAAAAGCGUUGGAAUUUUGUUAAUUAAAACUCCUCUCUGGCCACCAGUUGUAUCUUUUAAUGGAUUCAGAUCAAAUGGUGCAAGGCUGUCGACUUCUAUCUUGGAUAGAAAAGCUGGGAAAAAAGUGUCACAUUAAUUUUAACAAUAAGAACAAGUCAGAUAAUAUGCUACAUCAUGAUUACAGGGAGCAAAAGUCAUAGAACAACCAAUUAGAUUAGAAUUGAAAGAAAGAAAACAGUUUCAAAGGAGAUACGAGAUGUGAGCAUUAGCCAGUCUGUGGCAAUAAGAAAAAGACAAGGUCUCCAGACAAGUAGAUGGAAAGAAUUCAGCCAUUGUUCUGAAUGAAUUACUAAAGGCCGAGUGUGAAAUAGCAUGAGGAUACAGAAUCCCAAAAUGUUGAGGGCAGAGCAGGAGUUUGCACACACUCAGGCUCAUUUCUGUAGAACAUGCUAGAUCUUCACAAAGACCGGGACAAGGCAGCGUGUGAGACAAUGCUUUCCUUGGUGAUGCGAGGCUGAAUGAGUGGCAGGACCACUGUUACUCUAUCUGGUACCUCCUCCACUAAAGAACAAAAUGCUAAACUAUUAGUAAAGGGAAAGGCAGCAAAAGUUUUUGCCCAAGAGCACAGGUAAAGACCAAUUGCAUCUUGAAGAAAGAAAAGAAAAAAAAAGAAAGGAAAAGAAAAGAAAAGAAAAAUACCCUCUCCUCUUGGAGAAAGAGCAGGAAACCCUCCUAUGCCCAGACCACUGGGGGUCUCCUGCUGUUCUAAUGUGUUUAUGUGGGACCAAUCCAAAAAUACCCAUCACCUUGUGUCCACUGUUUGUGCGCGAAAGGGAUCCAGAAAUACUCAGCCUCUGACAAAUUUCCUUUUCCAGCGUUAGGCCAUUGAGGAAUUGUAGAGAGAGGGUAUGCCUAUUUUCCCUUCUACUGAUCUCUUUAUCCCAUGAGGUAUCCAGUAGUUAAAGAGCCUAGAUGUCAGUCAGCAAUAUGCAUUAUGAUCAUCCCCACUGAAGUUAAAGAGACAACUAGAAAUAAGAUCAAAUGUAAAUAAGGCAAAACAUUAGAAUGAUACCUGAGUGCUAUCUGCAAGUAUUCAGACAUUUCCGUGCUUCUCCUAUACAUUCACCAUGCUACUUUCCUUAAAAAGUAUCAUGGUCUUAAAACUACAAAAAAAUCUGAGGAGUUCGAUUUUAGGAACAUUAUUACCAUUAUGGCCACUAGCAAUAUAAAUGUAUUAACUUUAUAGCAAACUCACUAGGAUAUAGUGUUCAAAAAUGUCAAAUAACUUUAAAGACUUUGAAUAUAAUUCUGAAGAGAUUUCAUGGAAAAUAAUCGAAUAAUUAUUUAAAAUUAAGUUUUGUGAAGUUUUAGGGGAAUAAAAAGAUGCCAAAAUGGAUUCACAGUAAACUAAUAAUACUAAACUUCUUUCUUUCACUAUUCAUCACUCCCUUCAUAUGUUGUCUUCUUUGCCUACAAAUAUUAGAUCCUAUGUGGGUGCACUCCCUUACAAACAUCAUUAAUACUUCUGACUUAAUACUUUAAUUAAUUAAUUAAUUAAUUAAUAGUUGCUCACUAAUCAUAUCAACUUGACAAAGUCCUAACUUUAGUUAAGCUCAGCAAUCUGCUUUCAAGAAGCUAUAUUACCCAAAAACAUCUCAAAAGUAUGUUACGUGGUCUCUUUAAACUCGUGACCGUCAGCCUUGUAUUGGCAUUCAGCACUAAUAAAUUACCACUAGAUGUGGUAAUGUGAAUCCGUUUUCACAUUUGCCAUACCCAGAAUCACUUCUCAAUAUGAUCUCACUUCUGUUUUCUGAUGGUAAUAUCAUCUUUGUUGAUAGACAGAUCCGGAUCAUGUGGAAGAUUAGUUCCUUCCCCUCUUGGGAGUUCAAUGCAGAGCUCUGUUCUGGGCAGCAGAGGGCCUUGGCUGACGUCAGCUCCCCCCCAACCACGAGGACCGGGCUCUCACCGCGGUCCUCACUGCGCAGAACUCGGGCCCGAGUGUGCACACUGUCUGGUGUUCUUUAGGCUACUCCGAGAUAUUUUUUGUUUGUUUGUUACUUAGAGAAAAUAGAAGUUCUGUGGCCCAGCUUAGGCUGACCUGUAAGUGUGUAACGCAGUGCAGGGCAGAGCGCCCUGUGGCCGGGCCCACCUGCAGCCCACCCACGAUCCUCGCUGCUGGGCCCUUGGCCUGUCUGGGUGUGGAGCCCCUCUAUGCCACCUGGGCUGUGGGAUGACCAGAGGUGUGGGGUUGGGUGCACGCUAACAUGUUUCUGCUAUAAGGUUUCCUUCCAUAAACGUUAGGUAGCAUCUGCUCUUUAAGGCAGUGUGUUCGAGAUGCUCUUGGUUGACAACUUAUUUUUUUUCUUUUUUCAAUUGAGAAAAUAGAAACGGUCUGUUGGGAACUCACUUACCUUUCUUCAGUUAAACCUGCCGAGAGAAGCAGUUUAGCUGAGGGCUUAGCAGCAUGCUCUCUGGAGCCCACCUGAUGGGCUUUGAAUCCCGCCGCCCAGCCAUCAGCUGUGCAACCUUAAGCAAAAUGCUUUUCUGUUGUGUGUCUCAGUUUCCUUAUCCAUGAACAGUACAGGGAUAACACUUUGCAGGGUUGUAAUGAGGAUUCAUUUAACAGACGUAUACUGCUUCAAACAGUCUUACAUAUAAUAAACCAGUAUUAGUUUUUGUUAAAUAAAUAAUGCCUAUCUACAACUAAAACGGAAGCCUCUGUGUUUCUAACCAUUACUGUGAGGAAUGGAAGGGCUCGCCCUCUCAAAGGCCGCCUCCACGGUUGGUUCUGGAUCAGAGCCUACUGAGAACUUCAUUCUUGCAUGCCAUGAAUUUUUCUAACUCUGGGUCUUUCUGACUGGCAUAAAAUUGUUCUUAUUGUCUCUCUAAUUACCUCUUAUCCUCUCUACCUACCUUAAUUGUCCUCUUUGACAAUAAGUUCAUAAAAAUAGAUUAUUUGUGGCAAAUUGCAUUUUGCAAAAUUGUCCUUAGCAAUAUUUCUGGAUUCUCUCCAGAAUGUUACUGGUCUCAUCAAGGGGUAGAUUCCUCCCCACCUUUCCUUGAACUCAGUGGGGUUUCGUUACUCCAUCUAUACUUAGAAUGUUGGAGGGGAUAUUGUGUGACUUCUGAGCAUAGAUGAUAAAAGAUGAUACGGUUUCACCUGACGCUCUCUCUUGGGAUAUUUACCCUGUGGUCCAACCAUCCUGUAGUGAAGAAGCCCAGGCAAUACGGCAUUGCCAAGUUUAGGAGAUCAUGUUCAACAGCCCCAACUAGCGUUCGCCUCCAGAGAGCUUCAUCCUCCAAACAUGUGAACAGGGAAAGCUUCAGAUAAUUCCUUCCCUCAGCCUUUGAAUCUUCUAGUUUGAGGGCCCAUGUACUAUGGAGCAGAGACAAACUAUCCCUGUCAUGACCUGUUCAAAAUCCUGACCCACAAAAUGCAUGUGCAUAAUAAAUCAUUGCUGUAUGAUGCUGACUUGUGAGGCAAUCUGUUAUACAGCCACAAUAACUGGAGCAUUUGAUUAUAAUAAUUAGAGUGACUACAUCAGGGCGCGGCAAUUUCCAUUAGGAAAUGCCAAGUUGACGGAGAUAUGGAAAUUGUAAAAGAAAAGUUAAAAUAAAUGAAGAAAUCUCCCAGAGGUUCUGAAUUCCCUCUGACAGAAUUUCUAGGAAAAGAUUAUGAAAAAAGCAAUUAGAAAUAAAUAAAAGAAGGAUUCCCUAAAGGUGAAGAAAGACUCUUCGUUUUAUGCGGCAUGUACAGGUUUGGCCAUUAUUAUAUCCUAAAUUAUUCAACCUACAUGAUUAGAAAACCUAUUAAUGGUAAUUUUAUUCUUUCUACUUUUAGGUUUUAAAAAGUUAUUUUAAACUUUCUCAUACUCAGGCUGUGUUAAACGUGUAAUAUAAAUUAAAAUAAAAAUUCAAAACAAGUGUAGUAAAGUUUAAAAGAGUCUGUAGUAGAGCACUGUAUCAAGUUUAUUUUACUUGAAACACUGUCAUUUUAGAAUGUUUAUCUGAUUGCUGUGACUCUAAAAAAAGGAAGCAUCCUUCUUUGUAUGAUUCUUGACAUUUGAUAUAUUGAUUAUUGACUUUGACAAGAAAAUUAGUUUUAGUUUUCAAAAAGCAGGACAUUGUUUAUUCAUAAUUCAUAAACACACUGUAAUUUAAGUUUUUAAAACUUCUGUCUUAAAGCAAAUGAUGAUGGAUUUAUAUAAUUUUCUGUUUUCUUUGAAUAAUCUCUUUAUAUCAAUUUUUCCCUUAAUAUUUUGGAUGGAAUACUAGAAAUUACAUACCUGUUUUGCUAGUGACAGAUAUGUAAUUAGUCAUUACUUUUACCUACAUAAUUUGGUGUAUCUCCAAAAUUCUCAAUUAAAUAAUUUUAUAAUUAAGUGAAAAUGGAAACAUCCUCGUAUUGUGAUAUAUGGAGCAUUUCAAGAUUUUGGUAUCACUCUAAUACUUACCAUUAUUAAUAAGGGCACUACCUGUACAUUGGUGGUUUUUAGUAGCCCUGCUUGUACAAAACUACUUAUUUUUUCCAGUUCGCCGUUUGUUUGUAACUGUGUAACAACAACUCUUUGAUCUGCUCAGGACCUUCGGUGCGCUGACCUUAGUCACAUUUCCUCUUCCCCUCCCCGCCCUUCAUGUCCUCUCUUCUCUCUCAAUUGUUUUUCAUGUCCCACGGCUAGGGUCACUUUCAUGCAUACUUUCAUCUCUCUGGCUUCUUUGUUCUUCCGUUACAGACGCAAGGUCAAUACCUCGUGCUGGUUAAACUUGAACUGGAUGCCAACUUCAUGUCUACACAUGAAGGAAUUGAUACCACUUUGUAGAUACACAUCCUUCUCUCGUGUUGGACCAGGUGCAUUAAUAGGAAUAAGAAGAACUAUGAAUGGGUGCUAAAAAUGUGACUAUGAGAUUAAACAAAUAAAGAGGCAUUCCACAUUAAGCAUACUUUCUCGUCACU